AUGCUAGUAGGCACUUUGGAUGGCAUUAUGCCAGCACGUGCUGAGUUGAUAGGCAAUUUGGAUGGUGCUGGAUUGGUGAGCACAUUAGCACCAGGGGGCUUCAAGCUGGUGGGCACCUUGGAAGGCACAAUGCUGACAGGUGCCGGGCUAGCAGGCACUUUGGAGGUCAUAGUGGUCACAGGCUUCAGAGUGGUGGGAGAAGGCACUGAGCUGGUAGUAACAGAGUUGGUGGGUACCUCUGUGGGUACCUCACUGGGGCAGGUGGAGGAUCACAAGUUGGAGCCCACCCUGGGCAACUUGGCGACUAGACCCUGUCUCAGUAUUUGAAAAAAAAUGUAAGGGGCCGGGGAUGUAACUUAGUACUAACGUCCUUAAUUCAAUUCUAGUACCACUCACACAAAUGCUUCCAGGGCCCGGGAUUUAGCUCAGUGGCACCGCGCUUGCCUAGCAAGCGCCAGGUCCUAAAUUCGAUCCCCAGCACGCACACACACACACACAUACACACACGCAAAAAAACCGCUUCCAGUUUAAAGUGGACAAACAGGAAGGAUUACGAAGGCGCCGAGAAUUAACCCCUAGGGUCGAACCCGGAAGCUGAGCGCGUCAUCAGCCCUCGCCACCGGUCCCCUUCUUACUAGAGCACUUAGUGGCCAAGGCCCAUUACGUCACUGCCUCCCGCAAAGCACCUUGGGAGUUGUAGUUCCUUACUCGUCAGCCAGGCCUAAGCGGGCACGCAGCCCUCACCAGACUGCAUCUGCAGCGCCAGGCCGCCGUCGUCGAGGUGUCGUGCUCCGCGUUCCCUCCGUCCGAUGGACUUCCGACUGGACGCUCGGGCCUGGCGAGGGAAAGCAAUGGCGCCGCACGGCUGGUGACGCCUGCGCAGGAGUGGGGCGGACGGCGUGGGCGUGGCCUAGUGCAGUGCUCUUAGAUCCUGCGCGGACGCUUCCUCUCCCGGGAUGACAGAGUUUCGCUGACCUUCCGGACCUCCUGAUUCUCGCUCAAGGCGAGAGCUAAGCCGGCCACACCCGCUGCGGGCACUCGGGGCCAGUGCUCAAAGCCCCAUCCACCCGCACCCGGCCACUGACCCCAGCGGCCGCGAGGGGGCGCACAGGCCCAGUAAAGUGUCGCUAGCCUUCAGGGUUCGGACCCCGACCCCGCGUCACGAGCCACCCUGUUGAGGCUCGCAGACCCAGGCCGGAGCCCGAGAAACUACGCUGGCGCCGUAAGGUGCCCGCUUGACUUUGUGGACUCGCACCGUGCGGGGAAAUUUACUGGCGCACCACCUAAAAUGGGAUUUCUGCUGCACGUCGUCCCCCCGCCCCGCCCCCAUUAUGCAUAGCCCUCUAGUUUUGUGCAGAUUUUGUAUUGUAGAUUCCUUCAGCGGCCCAAGGUUGGAGCUGGGUUUGGCAUAAAAGGAUUUGAACGCUGGUCCAACUCUGUCAACACUUUGUCCCUGGCAGGACAGUCAACUUUGUUGGGUCACAGUGACACUACAUAGAGACCUAGGGUGAACGCUUAGUAGGGCUGACUGCUUAGUAGGGCUGACCAUUUUUUCCUCCCACAUCCUACCUUCAGCAGGGUCCCUGCCUAAUUUCUUGGACUAGCAGGGGGUACAGUGAAGAAGGCCUGCCACUAGGCCCACUCCUGUAAUCCCAGCUACUCAGCAGGCUGAGGCAGGAGAGUCACAAGUUUGAAGCCGGCUUGGGCAAUUA
rnacentral:lncRNA from 1 species